GGUACACUGAAUAGUAUUAAUGACCAACAGCAACAAACAGAUCUCCUCAAGGUAAGUCUGUUGGCUGUGUGUUAAUGAAGACCAUCGCUGGACUUCAGGAUGUUCCUCCGUUCAGCUCAAGGUUAGGCGCUGGAUCUGUUUUUUCUUUGGUUGGUUCCGGCCGGAAUGUUCGGAUUCCAGUCGGACGGUUUGUGCUUCCCGCCGUGGAAGGUUCUGAGUGCGGUCACUUGAUUUAGUCCCAAUGGUUAGCAUAGAACAUUGUAGUCUUGACAACCAUAAGAAACCACCUGGCAGUUAGUUGGACGGGAGCCCCCUGAGGGAAAUCUGGCGGAACGUUCUGGAUUGUAUUUGCGUAACCUCGAGCCGUUGCCAACGGAAACUAUUUUUCAGUCGUUUCCAUUGGGAAUUGUUGCCCCUUAUCUUAAACAACUUAAGUUUGAUAUUAAAUACAUAUUGACACGUACGUCGUAUAUGUUGAUAAUUUCUGAUGGUUGCGCCGUACUUUUAACCACGUUGACGUGACGGGACUCUCGUUGCGUACAAAACAGCGUUCUACUUGCGGGUCCAUUUUGACAUCAGUGAAGGCUGAAAAUCAUUUCAAGGUGGAAGACAAUUUGACAUUACUUCAACUGAACCCAGCACCUGAAUAUGGCUGAGUGUCUGCCUCCUCACCCAGAGCAAGACCUCCACCUCCUCACCCAGAGCAAGACCUCCACCUCCGGUCAGAAGUCCUCCAGAACAGCUGAAAGGUGAGGCUGAGAGGCUUGGGACCAGAGGCUUGUGGCGCCAGGAUGGACCGGAGACUGAGGCUGGAGACCAGGGGCCUGCAGCACCGG
ensembl:lncRNA